GGGCUGGGGCUGAGCGGUAGAGCUCUCGCCUAGCACGUGUGAGGCCCUGGGUUCGAUCCUCAGCACCACA
rnacentral:tRNA from 1 species